AUGAGGUUCCCUGUUCAGCUUCUGUGUCUGCUGGUGCUAUGGAUCUUAGGAGCUAAAGGUGAUAUUGUGCUGACCCAGAGUCCACUUUCCCUCUCCGUUGUCCCCAGAGAACUGGCUUCCAUCUCCUGCAAAUCCAGUGAGACUCUGCUGUACAAUGAUGGAAAUACCUAUCUUUACUGGUACCAUCAGAAGCCAGGCCAGCCCCCAAGGCGCCUGUUCUAUCAAAUUUCCUAUCGGGAAACUGGGGUCCCAGACAGAUUCAGUGCCAGUGGUUCAGAGACUGAUUUCACUCUUCAAAUAAGUAGGGUGGAGCCUGAGGAUGUUGGAGUUUACUACUGCUUUCUAGCUACAAAGUCAUGUCAUACAGUGAUACAGCUCUAA